GACCGAGGGGGCAAGCGUUGCUCGGAAUCACUGGGCGUAAAGGGCGCGUAGGCGGGAUGGCAAGUCAGUCGUGAAAUCUCUCGGCUCAACCGAGAAACGUCGGCUGAUACUGCCGUUCUUGAGGGAUGCAGAGGAGACUGGACUUCCCGGUGUAGCGGUGAAAUGUGUAGAGAUCGGGAGGAACACCGGUGGCGAAGGCGGGUCUCUGGGCAUUUCCUGACGCUGAGGCGCGAAAGCGUGGGGAGCAAACGGG
rnacentral:rRNA from 1 species